GGGGGGGGGGUUGGGGGGUGGGUAGAAAUGGACUGGGAAGAAAACUCACGAUUUCUGAACCCACAAAAGGAAGAAAGAAAGCUAUCUGAAGAAAGUAAGCAGUAUUGUGUUAAAUUUAUACUCUCCUAUAAAAAUUUAAUGGCCCAUUUUCCCCCCAGGCCAGGAAGAUAGCAAAGUCUUAGGAGAAAAUUCCUCUUGGCUCCUAAAAGGUUCACAGUUCCCUGUGGAAAAAUCAAAUUACCCAACUGAGUGCAAAGUGGAAGUGGAUGGACUGUUUCAUUGGGCAGAUCUACCUGAAUUUGUGGGGUUGGAGAGGCAGUGAACUUCCACACUUGGGGACAACGUAACUAGAGAAGCCCACUUUGGAGAAGCUUCAGUCUUCAUCAUCCACCCCUAGAGUAUUACUCAUGGGAAUCCGGAAAAGAAAACCCGUUGUAUGAAGGAAAUCGCUUUUCAAACUUUCAAUUCCAUCCAAACGUUUACGGAGUGCCUAUUAUGUACCCAGCACUGCGCUUGGUGCUGCUUAUACGUGGAUGGGCAAGGUAGUUCUGGUCCCUGGCCAGCUGGAACUUAAAGGCUAGAGGGGAAAACGGCUUUAAAUAUUUCAACCAGAGGCUCUGACCAACUAACCAGCAAGAUCUGGAGCAAGGAGAUCUGGAAAAGGAGGAGACCAGCACACUGGCUAUCCCACAGGGCUGUUAAAAGCUCGUAGAAUAAACAGGUUAGAAAAACAGUUUGCAAAAGUCCAAACUGUUACACAAGGGGAAGAUAAUCGUCUCUGAUGGGUCAAAGGGGCCAAGGACUGCUCAAAUCCUAAGGAAAGAGACAACAAGCACCCAAACCACCACGCCUCAACAAUCAGAAGGUCAACCAGAACACUCAGGCAUAUCAGAAUGAGAACAGGCUCUGGAGUCCCGCAGACAGGCCCUGCCAUGUGCUCAGCUGUGCGGUGAACCUAUUUCUUUACCGGUUCUUCCUCUGAAAAUUGGAUGAGAAUUCCUACAUUUCCCCCAGGGGUUGUCCUAAGGAUCUGAAUUUAGAGACCAUUUUAAAGCACCUAGUAAAGUGUCUGACACGUGUAUGCCCUCAAUGGUAGAACUGCUUUCGCUUCAUGAUGCAAAGAUGAAAAGGCCCAUUUUAGGGAGAAGGGAACAAGUUUAGCCAACUGAGAAAGCUCCGGGGAAGCCGAUGCUGCAGUUACAAUUCAGAAUAUCCCAGCUAAGAGUUAACCAUCCUGGCUGCUGACACAAAGUAAUGGAUCAGAAGCUGAGUCAUGUUAAAAUUAAAAAAUGGCAUGCUACUUACUUCUAUGUGUUCUUUACAGUAUUCCAACCCAAUGUCACUAAGUAUUUUUUUCACAGUUUUCCGGGCUUUCCUUAAACUGCCAAGAUUGUUGACAGGAAGUUGGAACAUAGUUUCUAUUGGAAAAAAAAAUUUAAGUCAAGUCAGAACACGUACAACUUGUAAUAUUUCCUAGUUCCACUGAUGGCAGGACCACAAACCCUGGCCCACUGACAAAGAAGGUGAGCAGACACCCUUACCGAGUCUGUUCUGCAGGCAAGGUAAGUGCUCUCUGACCUCGUCUAACAGGACAUCUUACAUCACAGAUGGACUAAUUCUAGAGCUUAACUUCAUCACCAAACUGGUUUUUUUAAAGUUGAGAAUUAGGUUAAUAAUACCAACCCAUUAUUUUAAAAUUGAGUGUGAGUGCUUUUCUCCUUGUGAUGCUGAGCCUCUGAAAAUAGAAAAAUGUUCACCAUUCCAGCAUCAUUGCCACAUAAUUUUGAGUGCCAGGGAAAAGAAGUGUUUGUUUUCUGGGAACCGUCCUGCAUGCCGCUAUGAUAUUCUUAAAGAAAUCUCCUUCAGUGUUUCCAUAUACUAUCCCAACUACAGACACUAACGGUUGUGUAGCCUGCCCCCCAGCCAGCACCACACCUGGACAAAGGCACUCACUUAUAUGGUGAUGGGGAAAGCUAGGCACUCAGCAUCAGAGCAAGUGCUGUGUUACAGAUUUUAGGGGAUCCUUUUGAAAAAUGAAAAGCCUAUAUAUGUGUGAAGGAACUGAAAAAUUAUUUAAAUGACCUAACACAUUAAAGCAGAAAUUUAGAUCCACUUCACCAAGUUCCUUAAAAAACAAAAGUUAAGAAAAUAAAA